AGUGAACGCUGGCGGUAGGCCUAACACAUGCAAGUCGAACGGCAGCACAGAGGAGCUUGCUCCUUGGGUGGCGAGUGGCGGACGGGUGAGGAAUACAUCGGAAUCUACUCUGUCGUGGGGGAUAACGUAGGGAAACUUACGCUAAUACCGCAUACGACAUACGGGUGAAAGCAGGGGAUCUUCGGACCUUGCGCGAUUGAAUGAGCCGAUGUCGGAUUAGGUAGUUGGCGGGGUAAAGGCCCACCAAGGCGACGAUCCGUAGCUGGUCUGAGAGGAGGAACAGCCAACCUGGAAAUGGGGGAACGUGCAGACGCCUACGGGAGGAAGCAGUGGGUAAGAGUGGACAGGGGCGCGAGGCUGGUCCAGACCUAACGCGUGGGGGAAGCAGUGGUUCGGGUUGUAAAGCCCUUUUGUUGGGAAAGAAAUCCAUCUGGUUAAUACCCGGGUGGGAUGACGGUACCCAAGGAAUAAGCACCGGCUAACUUCGUGCCAGCCGCCGCCGUAA
rnacentral:rRNA from 1 species